AUUGAGACAUUCGGCAGAUGCUUAUUUACCAUCUCUCUUUUUCUUUUUCCCCCUCUCUUUCUUCCCUGGACCUUGUCUCACCAUCUACAUAAAGGUAAGACAUCUGUUUGUUGUUUUUGUCUUUUCAAAUUAAUCUUCAAAUUAUCCUGCAAAUGAUCUGCAAAUUACAUAUUUAUUUUAUUAUUGUUAUAUUACAUAUGUAGUUAGUGAUGACUGCAUACACUAUAUUCUACAGUAUUUGAUUUACUUUUUGUCUUAUAACAUUGUUUACCAUUUGUGCAUAUAAAUAAAUGAAUAUACUAAAAAAAUAUUGGCUAUGAAUUAAACAGACACUACAUCACUCCAUACAGCUCAAAUUUUUGCAUCUCUCCUCAUCUUCCUGUAAAUGAGACAUCUCAAACCUGCCCCUCUCUAAAUAUAUCCUGGGGCGCACAGUCAAAAUGGAGAAAUAUCUCAUUUAAAACACUCCCACUCUCCAUUUCAGCUCUUCUGCGUAAUACUGUAAAAGCUUUGAUAUAAAUGAACGAUCUGAUGGUGAAGUUUGCUCUGACUAGUUGCCUGAGCUCAUAACCAGCAGCGUCGGGUCUGUAGGGGGAGGGUUAGCGGGUGUUCGGCAUGUCGCUGAUGAUAAGACCACGUACUGGAGUUAGCACUGAAGAUCAGCCUGCGUUUGAAGUAGAAAUGACGGACUCAGACCCGGGCGAUUAAAAACACGGCCAAAAGAACUGAGAGAAGCCUGACUCUGAUUAAACCCAGCAGAGAGAAACACCAGCAGAGCUAAACUCACAUCUGCAGCGCACACACUGAGAGCGUUAGCAUUGCUCACAAGAGCUGCUAAUACAACGUGCAGAAAAUGUGAAGUUUGGUCUGUUGUUAGUGUUGAUUAGGCGAGCUAGGUUGGUUGUUUAGGUUCGUACCUUAGGCCAGAAACAUACUUUACACGAAUGCACAAGCAUUAUGCUUGGACAUAGCAUUAGCAUUUUUAAACCAUUGUUGUUGUUUUUUUGUUUUUUUUUUUGCAAAUUUCCUGCUGGUUUUAAGAAGAAAGUUAUCUACAUUGUUAAUUACGGAUCUUGAUGUGUAUUUGCAUGUUCAACAAACUGGACAAUAAUUGUACUCCUUAUAUACAGUAGAGACUUGUUAGCAACUUGUUGUAGAACAAAAUGCGAAUUAGCCUUGCAGGUUGGCCUACAAAUUGAUGUCACGGCUGAAGCGCUAUAUUCAAGUAGCUUUCUAUAAACAUGUUAGUGAAAUCCAACUUGCUCAGGAAGAUUCUUUUCAAACUAUUGUGCCGCAAUCACAGUAGUUGACCUAAAUGAGAAAAUCGACCGUAGACGUAUUAGUUGCUUCCCAAUUUGCCCACUAUUCUACCAUAUUUUGUAAUAUAAAAAUUUCACGCUGAAAAAAAUUUUCCAACAACAAGUGCACUUCAUAUACCUGGAUGAUGCACUUAAUUAACUGAAAAAAUGAAGCAUGGAGUAUUAGAAACGUAAUAGUCGCAGCUUUUCUAUUGUAGAGGAGAGGGCGGGGCUAUUAAAAUGGACAAAAUAACCGUAUAAAAAUCAUACAUUAUAGUAGAGUACAAGUUUGAGUGUGCAAUGAAUACAUUGUC
rnacentral:lncRNA from 1 species